rnacentral:rRNA from 1 species
GAUUAACGCUAGCGGCAGGCCUAAUACAUGCAAGUCGAACGGCAGCGGGUGUAGCAAUACAUGCCGGCGAGUGGCGCACGGGUGCGCAACACGUAUGCAAUCUACCUUUAACUGGGGAAUAACCCCUCGAAAGAGGGGCUAAUACCGCAUAAUACUAUUUUGAGGCAUCUCAGGAUAGUCAAACUUGCGGGGGUUAAAGAUGAGCAUGCUUCCGAUUAGCUAGUUGGCGGGGUAACGGCCCACCAAGGCAACGAUCGGUAGGGGAUCUGAGAGGAUGCUCCCCCACACUGGUACUGAGACACGGAGCAGAAUCCUACGGGAGGCAGCAGUAAGGAAUAUUUGACAAUGGGCGCAAGCCUGAUCCAGCCAUGCCGCUUGCAGGAUGAAAGUGCUCUGCACUGUAAACUGCUUUUACUUGGGAAAAAACCCCUGGUUUCCACCGGGGCUGAUUGUACCGAGAGAAUAAGGGACGGCUAACUUCGUGCCAGCAGCCGCAGUAAUAC